CCCUGAGAGAUGGCCACCACUUCCAAGGAAGGCAGCAGGCGCGCAAAUUACCCAAUCUCAAUUCGAGGAGGUAGUGACAAGAAAUACCAGUACAGGGCCCAUUGGGUACUGUGAUUGGAAUGAAUACAAUUUAAAAACCUUAAUGAGGAACGAUUGGAGGGCAAGUCUGGUGCCAGCAGCCGCGGUAAUUCCAGCUCCAAUAGUGUAUAUUAAAGUUGCUGCAGUUAAAAAGCUCGUAGUUGGAUUUCGGAUUAAUGGGAGUUAAGGUCCAUCAAUUUGAUGUGUACCUUAUUCUCGUUUCCUUCCUUUUGAAUACACUCCCUGAAAUUUUUUUUUGGGGAUCAAAGUGUUUCAAAUCUUUUACUGUGAAGAAAUUAGAGUGUUCAAAGCAGGCGUAAUCUAGCCUUUGAAUAUAUUAGCAUGGGAUAAUGAAAUAGGACUUUAGUUCUACUUUCGUUGGUUUCUAGGGCUAAAGUAAAGAUUAAUAGGGAUAGUUGGGGUCACUAGUAUUUAAUUGUCAGAGGUGAAAUUCUAAGAUUUAUUAAAGACUAACUACUGCGAAAGCAUUUGACAAGGAUGUUUUCAUUAAUCAAGAACGAAAGUUGGGGGAUCGAAGAUGAUCAGAUACCGUCGUAGUCUCAACCAUAAACUAUGCCGACCAAGGAUCCGGGGGUGUUAAAUAUGGAUGACUCUCCGGGCACUUAUAGAGAAAUCAUAAGUAUUUGGGCUCCGGGGGGAGUAUGGUCGCAAGGCUGAAACUUAAAGGAAUUGACGGAAGGGCACCACAAGGAGUGGAACCUGCGGUUUAAUUUGACCCAACACGGGGAAACUUACCAGGUCCAGACACAGUGAGGAUUGACAGAUUGAGAGUUCUUUCUUGAUUCUGUGAGUGGUGGUGCAUGGCCGUUUCUAGUUGGUGGAGUGAUUUGUCUGGUUAAUUCCGUUAACGAACGAGACCUUAACCUAUUAAAUAGUUGCUUGAACACAUGAAUAUUUUAUUCUUUGUUCGGUUAACUUCUUAGAGGGACUCUUCACUGAGAGAGUGAAUGGAAGUUUGAGGCAAAAACAGGUCUGUGAUGCCCUUAGAUGUUCUGGGCCACACGCGCGUUACACUGACAUAUUCAACGAGCAUUUUCCUGGCCCGAUGGGGUUGGGUAAUCUUUUAAAUGUAUGUCGUGCUGGGGAUAGAUCAUUGUAAUUAUUGGUCUUGAACGAGGAAUUCCUAGUAAGUGCAAGUCAUCAACUUGCGCUGAUUACGUCCCUGCCCUUUGUACACACCGCCCGUCGCUCCUACCGAUUGAAUGGUCCGGCGAGAACUCAAGAUGGAAAUAGGUUUUGGACACCGUCAGGUGCUCCAACUAUAUCCAGAAUUUGUUCAAACCUUACCAUUUAGAGGAAGGAGAAGUCGUAACAAGGUUUCCGUAGGUGAACCUGCGGAAG
rnacentral:rRNA from 1 species